rnacentral:rRNA from 1 species
UACAGAGGUGGCAAGCGUUGUUCGGAAUUACUGGGCGUAAAGGGCGCGUAGGCGGCCUACUAAGUCAGACGUGAAAUCCCCCGGCUUAACCUGGGAACUGCGUCUGAUACUGGAAGGCUUGAGGAUGGGAGAGGGAUGUAGAAUUCCAGGUGUAGCGGUGAAAUGCGUAGAUAUCUGGAGGAAUACCGGUGGCGAAGGCGGCAUCCUGGACCAUUACUGACGCUGAGGCGCGAAAGCUAGGGGAGCGAACGGGAGU